rnacentral:rRNA from 1 species
UACGUAGGGUCCGAGCGUUGUCCGGAAUUACUGGGCGUAAAGAGCUCGUAGGUGGUUUGUCGCGUUGUUCGUGAAAACUCACAGCUCAACUGUGGGCGUGCGGGCGAUACGGGCAGACUAGAGUACUGCAGGGGAGACUGGAAUUCCUGGUGUAGCGGUGGAAUGCGCAGAUAUCAGGAGGAACACCGGUGGCGAAGGCGCUGCUCUGGGCCGGUACUGACGUGAGGAGCGAAAGCGUGGGUAGCGAACAGG